rnacentral:lncRNA from 1 species
CAAGUCCAAGACACCCACUGGGUGCUGGAAAGAGUGCAGAGAAGCUUUCCUGGUGGACUUCCUGGAGGCCAGGGGAAGGCCCCUCGCUCCUCCCAUGAGGGAUGAAACACCAGGAUAUGGGAAACUUUCCUGAUUCAGCCAGCCCUUGGAUGUCAAGGAGACAAACACUGGACUGGAGGAUUUCAGCCCACUGGGGAGAUGCCUGAGGGGCUCGCCCAUGGACAGAACAUCUGGAGACAGCUAGGAGUUUUGGAGGAGGACACGACAUGAUAUGCUCCGGCAUAAAAGGAGAUGUGCCAUUUUCAUAUGUUCCACACAUACUCAGAGAACCUGCUUGGAAUAUUUUUGCUGAUGAAAUUUUCUGGGUUGUAACAUUCAUCUCUUUGAAAAGCUUGCUUCCUAUAACCCCACGUGGAGGUUUGUGCUUUUACUUCUCUCUGCGAUGCCAUCUACACGUGGAUUUUUGUGUCAACUGCUUAUCUCAGGCAUUAGCCAAUUUCUUGUCUGUUUGUAUUGUUUAUAAGGUGCUGGACACACACGGUGCUUUGCCGACGCGAGCGGACCCAGCUCCCUGCCCUGUGGAGAGCACCGUCUAA